rnacentral:snRNA from 1 species
GGAUGUGAGGGUGAUCUGGCUGCGACAUCUGUCACCCCAUUGAUUGCCAGGGUUGAUUCGGCUGAUCUGGCUGGCUAGGCAGGUGUCCCCUUCCUCCCUCACCGCUCCAUGUGCGUCCCUCCCGAAGCUAAGCGCUCGGUCGAAGAGGACGGCCUUCCCCGAAUAGAGACGGACUGGUCUUCGGUCGAGGGUAUACGAGUAGCUGCGCUCCCCUGCUAGAACCUCCAAACAAGCUCUCAAGAACAGAGCCCCAGUCAGUCAUACGUGGUCUGGGAACCAAAGCUAGGGUUCCAUACACACA